UGCAGAAACCCAGGAUCAACCAGGGACCUUUAGAUCUUCAGUCUAACGCUCUCCCAACUGAGCUAUUUCGGC
rnacentral:tRNA from 1 species